rnacentral:lncRNA from 1 species
AUAUGUGUUCAUGAUGUGAUUUAUGUGGUUUCAGGACCAGACUUGGACCGUGGUAAAGGAAAGGUACCGUGAAGUCUCAGGCCAUGGGAAGAUAUGUGGUGAAUGGGUCCUUGUUGAUAAGCGUGUAGUAUUGAUAGCCUAUUGUGCAACUUGUGAACUUAUGAUAGACUAAGUGUGUAAACUAGUAGAUGAACUUAUGAAUGAUGUAUGGAUCUCAUUAUGUUAUAUAUAUACAAUCUGUUUGCCCCUUAUGUUUGUUUGUCUUGAAUGUUAUUCUCGAACCUCACCUAAAGGAACUUGAACUUAACACCUAAAGGACCUUAAAAGACCGGAAUCAUUGUAUAAGAACGGAUGUUAAGGCCGCGGUUCAUGGUUGG